rnacentral:rRNA from 1 species
AGUUUGACCUCAAAUCAGGUAGGAGUACCCGCUGAACUUAAGCAUAUCAAUAAGCGGAGGAAAAGAAACCAACCGGGAUUGCCUUAGUAACGGCGAGUGAAGCGGCAAAAGCUCAAAUUUGAAAUCUGGUACCUUCGGUGCCCGAGUUGUAAUUUGGAGAGGGCAACUUUGGGGCCGUUCCUUGUCUAUGUUCCUUGGAACAGGACGUCAUAGAGGGUGAGAAUCCCGUGUGGCGAGGAGUGCGGUUCUUUGUAAAGUGCCUUCGAAGAGUCGAGUUGUUUGGGAAUGCAGCUCUAAGUGGGUGGUAAAUUCCAUCUAAAGCUAAAUAUUGGCGAGAGACCGAUAGCGAACAAGUACAGUGAUGGAAAGAUGAAAAGAACUUUGAAAAGAGAGUGAAAAAGUACGUGAAAUUGUUGAAAGGGAAGGGCAUUUGAUCAGACAUGGUGUUUUGUGCCCUCUGCUCCUUGUGGGUAGGGGAAUCUCGCAUUUCACUGGGCCAGCAUCAGUUUUGGUGGCAGGAUAAAUCCAUAGGAAUGUAGCUUGCCUCGGUAAGUAUUAUAGCCUGUGGGAAUACUGCCAGCUGGGACUGAGGACUGCGACGUAAGUCAAGGAUGCUGCAG